GACGAACGCUGGCGGCGUGCCUAAUACAUGCAAGUAGAACGCACAGUUUAUACCGUAGCUUGCUCCACCAUAAACUGUGAGUUGCGAACGGGUGAGUAACGCGUAGGUAACCUGCCUGGUAGCGGGGGAUAACUAUUGGAAACGAUAGCUAAUACCGCAUCAUAUUGAUUAUUGCAUGAUAAUUGAUUGAAAGAUGCUAUUGCAUCACUACCAGAUGGACCUGCGUUGUAUUAGCUAGUAGGUGAGGUAACGGCUCACCUAGGCGACGAUACAUAGCCGACCUGAGAGGGUGAUCGGCCACACUGGGACUGAGACACGGCCCAGACUCCUACGGGAGGCAGCAGUAGGGAAUCUUCGGCAAUGGACGAAAGUCUGACCGAGCAACGCCGCGUGAGUGAAGAAGGGUUUCGGAUCGUAAAGCUCUGUUGUAAGAGAAGAACGGGUGUGAGAGUGGAAAGUUCACACUGUGACGGUAUCUGACCAGAAAGGGACGGCUAACUACGUG
rnacentral:rRNA from 1 species